GACGAACGCUGGCGGCGUGCUUAACACAUGCAAGUCGAGCGGUAAGGCCCUUUCGGGGGUACACGAGCGGCGAACGGGUGAGUAACACGUGGGUGACCUGCCCUCAGCUCUGGGAUAAGCCUGGGAAACUGGGUCUAAUACCGGAUAUGACUCCAUGACGCAUGUUGUGGGGUGGAAAGCCUUGUGCGGCUGAGGAUGGGCCCGCGGCCUAUCAGCUUGUUGGUGGGGNGAUGGCCUACCAAGGCGACGACGGGUAGCCGGCCUGAGAGGGCGACCGGCCACACUGGGACUGAGACACGGCCCAGACUCCUACGGGAGGCAGCAGUGGGGAAUCUUGCGCAAUGGGCGAAAGCCUGACGCAGCGACGCCGCGUGAGGGAUGACGGCCU
rnacentral:rRNA from 1 species